CAGCAGCGCCAUCCUCAUAUGACCGCACCACCACAGACAGUGGCCACUCGAAAAAACGGGGGCGAUGAGGAGGCCAGGACCUUGGCACAGACCCGUGCUCCCAGCACCGGAUCCCUCCUCGUCGCAGGGCCAGCCCUCCCGCCGGCUUGGUGGCCCGUGUUUGGGCAGCCGCCGCGGCGUCGUCGUCGGCGGAUGCGGUGGCGGGGGACUGCCACGGCUUCCGGCCGUGGGUUCCGGCGAUGCCAAGCUGUAGAUCUGAGCCGCCGUCUCCAUUUCAUUUCGUCCAUGUUUCGAUCUGGUACCUCCACUCCUCACCACCUCUCCCCCUCUCAUCCACCCGCCCAGCUCCUCCACUUUAAGAUGCAGAUUGAAAGCCAUCAGGCGCUUUGACUUCUA
rnacentral:rRNA from 1 species